AUGAAUUUCCAGGUGCAGAUUUUCAGCAUCCUACUUAUCAGUGUCUCAGUGUCCAGUGGGGCUAUUGUUCUCAACCAGUCUCCAUCAUCCAUCGUUGCAUCUCAAGGGGAAAAGAUCACCAUCACCUGCAGUGCCAGCUCAAGUAUAAGUUCCAAUUACUUGCACUGGUACCAGCAGAAGCCAGGAGCCUUCCCUAAACUUGCGAUUUACAGUUCAUCCUAUCUGGCCUCUGGAGUCCCAUCUCGCUUCAGUGGCAGUGGGUCUGGGACCUCUUACUCUUUCACAAUCAGCAGACUGGAGGCUGAAGAUGUUGCUACUUACUACUGUCAGCAGGGGAGUAGUAAACCACCACACAGUGCUAGAGACUGGAACAAAAACUUUCAUUGCCUCCCUAGGGCCCAGCUGCUUCUUAUCUAG